GGCGUGGAAGACAUGGUGGCCGACGGUGGGAGUAGCGGCUGCGGCGGUGCGGAAAUGAUCUCUCCCAUCUAUGGCUGGAGUGGCUGGGCCUGAGGAGUGCACAAUGCUGCUGAGCUAGAUAGCUUGUGGCUUCCCUGUCUCUGCGCUGGUCACAUGGAAACGCUCAUGCUAUGGAAAGUGGAAUUAGUUGCUCCAGGAGCGGCUAUUGGCCAGCGUCCUCGUCGGCAAGAUCACUGUGUGGUGUUUGGGUAG
rnacentral:lncRNA from 1 species